rnacentral:rRNA from 1 species
CAGCAGCCGCGGUAAUGCGAAGGGUGCAAGCGUUAAUCGGAAUUACUGGGCGUAAAGCGUGCGUAGGCGGUAAGUUAAGUCUGCUGUGAAAUCCCCGGGCUCAACCUGGGAAUGGCAGUGGAUACUGGCUCGCUAGAGUGUGUCAGAGGAUGGUGGAAUUCCCGGUGUAGCGGUGAAAUGCGUAGAGAUCGGGAGGAACAUCAGUGGCGAAGGCGGCCAUCUGGGACAACACUGACGCUGAGGCACGAAAGCGUGGGGAGCAAACAGGAUUAGAUACCCCAGUAGUCCCUGUCUCUUAUAC